UACGUAGGGGGCUAGCGUUGCUCGGAAUCACUGGGCGUAAAGCGCACGUAGGCGGAUCUUUAAGUCAGGGGUGAAAUCCUGGAGCUCAACUCCAGAACUGCCUUUGAUACUGGGGAUCUCGAGUCCGGAAGAGGUGAGUGGAACUCCGAGUGUAGAGGUGAAAUUCGUAGAUAUUCGGAAGAACACCAGUGGCGAAGGCGGCUCACUGGUCCGGUACUGACGCUGAGGUGCGAAAGCGUGGGGAGCAAACAGG
rnacentral:rRNA from 1 species